UUCAUUUUAUCCUCAUUUUUGGUAAUCUUGUGAAGGUUGGUUAUGUGAGUUAUGUGUGUAGUUCGAAAUUGUUUCUUAAAAGGGACGAUAACAAAUAAUUUAUUUGUUUAUUUGGAGACUUUGACCACAAAUUAGAUUCUAAUUUUUAUUUUUUCUUUGUUGCAUGAAUUUCCUCUUAAUGAGUCCAUUGGGGACUCUCAUCCCUGCACGAUCCGCGAGACCAAAGUCUUAUUACAAAAUUCCGUGCCAAAGUCCCGAAAUAGGACUGAUCUAUGACGAUAUACAGGGGAUAUACAAUCCGGAAAUUGAUAUAUCGGAUGUAAAAGAAAGAGACGAGUUGAGGCCCAGGGCUGCUCAAGUGUGUUCGCUCAAAACGGGCAAAUAUACACUAAAAAAUGCCUCUGUAUACAGGAAUUUGAAGGACAUAUACAUUUGAUAUACCACUGGUAUACACAGCUGAAGGAAAGCUUAAAAAGUCCAUAAAACUAGGCCCAAGAUUGGUCAGAUUUGAAAUGGGCCAAACUGGGGCCCAAAAAUCUCAAACUUUAUUUUCUUUCUUGUACUUAUUCAUAUUGAUUGUAAUUUGUACUAACUUUAUUUUGGUUAAUUAAGUGGAUUCCCUA
rnacentral:lncRNA from 1 species